GGGGACCAGCCAUUCUCCUGCCAUACAAGGGUACAUGCGUUCCGGAGAAUGUAGGUCUGUACCAAUGCCAGCUAUACUAAUUACACCGGACUCAGAGCAGCGCCCUCUUGUGUGUCAUUGUUCAGUGAAAACAGUGAAGAAUCAAGAAUCACUACGAUAAGCAUGCCAGACUGAAGAGCCUUGGCCGAAGGUCACAGGCCACACCACAGAUCAUCGAAAGGCUACUGGCAGGCCCACUAAGGAACAACCCCACAGUGUCAUGGUGACAAAUGUUGUUCAGUGAAGCUGACUUAACGACUGCAGCCAGUUUGUGAUGGACCCGUUCACGAUGAAUCAGGCACACGGUCCAUGGUUUCACCAGGAGGCAGAUAUAGCGUGGAGCCUUGGCAGUUAUCACGUGGGCGUGAGCGAGCAGUGUGACGACCAGCUGAGUAAGAGGGCAGCCCACCGGGGCAUCAUGCAGAGCCCCCCGGGGUGCCGCUGGCUCACACACAUCGCCAGGGAGGCGGGGCUCUUCAUUAGCAUGCGGGAGAGCUGAAAGCUUUCGGAGCGUCCGGCACAUGCAACGCCACUUCAAGCGCUUCUGCAGAUGGCCUCGCCCUCUCCCGAGGCUCGUCGCCGCGUGCAGGUGACGCGAGCGCGCAGGGAAGGAACGCACCUUCUCAGGACGUCGCCUCGCGCUAUAAGUGCUGACAGGACCACACGUACCGUCUCGCGCAGCACGGCUGGAAUGCUGUAAACAUUUAUCCGCGCGGGAGCCCAAAUGGCUGCCUUUUAAACAGCCCCCCAGGAACGCGCUACUGCACCUGAGCGUGAUAAUAAACACAGAAGGCCUGGACCCGCGCCCCACAAACACACACGCAUCUCCGGGGUGGCUCCGAUAAGAGCCCAGAUGACACACAGGGGUUUGGGGGGUGGGGGGUCAUCUUCUUUGAACGCUUUCUUUGUGCAAUAUUGUCUUCAAUAUUAAAGAUUGUCAGAUCUG